UCUGGCAACACUGCGGCUCAACCAUUCUUUCUGAGGUUUCCCGUAGAUCCAACACUACGACCACGUGCAAAAACCGAAGUUAGUGCAAAGGAAACAGGCCACAGGUUAGUUACCCGAAGCAAAUGAGCAAACAGAAAGUAAAAACAUUUGGAUUAUUAAAAGUCUGGUGAAACUACAUAUUUGGAGGAAAUUUAGGAGGAUGCAAACAGCACCGCGAUGCUGGAGCUGAAAUCGAUGCACGAGCCUGGGGAUUUUACCUGGCGCUGGAUACCUCUGCACACAGGAGGGCAACAAAACCCCCCAGGUUUGAAGAGGACGUAAAGGAAGAUGGACACGACGGUCAGGAAGAAGCAGGCGGCCACAGUAGCGACCAGCAGCCAGAGCCCGUCCAUCAAGGUACGAGGUCUCCACUGAUUGGUCGUUGACGAGCCAUGUGACCACAGUGGACUCUGCCGUUUGGCAUUCAGUGAGCACCUUACAGAACAGCUCCAGUCCUGAACCUACAGACUUUCAAAGACAGUCCCAUUCUUUGGCGAGACAAUCACAGGGGGACGAAUCACUGGAGCUGAUUAGUGAGGGAUCACAUUAAGCAUCAGUUUUACCUUACACACAGGGUCAUUUGUUAAGUGUUGACUCCAGAUAAAACUUACUGUAAACCGUGCUGCUGCUGCUGCUGAGGAUCUCUGAGUCAGAGGUGGAGGAGAGGUCAUGCAAAGUGCUGGAGGUGGUGCUCGGUGGUUCAGGAUCUACGCCUUUAGAUAAACAAACAAAUGUAAACUCAUGCAAACAAACAACUCUCAAAACAGCUGCAAAAUUCACUUAUUGUCUUGCGUAAUAAUAAUAAUAAUAAUAAUCCACACCAUGUAAUAGUGCUUUGGCAUAUUGUGUAAUACUGAGUAAGGCCAGUAGAGGGCAGCGUUUGCUUAUAAUUGAUAGCGUCAAUACGGAGAAGUUAUCUAAUGACAAAUGGAUAUCAAUAUUCUACGUUAUCCUAUAAUAAGAGUAACAUUUGAUGAUCUAUAUAUUUAUCUAUCUGUUCUUUUUAUUUAAAUAUUUAGAAACAUUUAUAUUUGAACUGACUCAAUUAAUAAUCUGAAAAAAAACGAGUUUUUCAUGAAAUUAAUUUAAAUCCACAAGUUUCUUUUGUAUUUUUCUAGGAGCAAACAUAAAACAUGACAGGGGAAGUAUUAAAAUGGAUUAAGAAACCUAAAAUAUGUGCAAUUAACCAUAAUUAUACAGAUAUAUUAGCCUCAAAUAAGCCAAACAAUUGUAAGAGCUGGUGCAUUAGUUUAAAAUAAGCUAAAUUCAUCAAGUGCAUAAAAAAACCCACAAAAAAUGUACAGAUUAUUCUGCAUUUGCCACAUUUUUUAUAAAUAGUUUUCCAAACAAAAUAUAGAUAUCUUCCUGCUCUGUACCCUACACUCGUUGGGCUGUUCCUAUAAUAAAUGAAGUGUCGUCACCCACCUCUCACAAUGAGCGCGAUGCUUCUGCUCACUCUGUACGGCUGCUCAUCGAUGAGCACCGUGAGCCGACAGGUGUACUGACCUGCAUGUGAGUGCCUCACAGCAGGGAUUAUCAGCCUCCCUCUGGCCUGGCUGAAGGGGCCCGCUCUGCCUCGCCGAGGGUCCUGACAGGAAGAAACACACGGCGUCACUCGCGGAGAAAAAUACCGUACUGACAGUGAAAGGGUUGAAGGGUUCGAGCUAACUGUGGCCUCCCCUGACCCAUGUAGUUACAUAAAUAAACAUAAUAAAACUGUACAAUCUUAUAGGGUACAAUAUGAUGAACGUGCAUCACAGCAGCUCCAUUGGCAACAUCCAGGGAACAUACAUUUAACAAUCACUGGAGACAACCUUUUUAAGGCUAAUUUACGAUCAUUUGAUCGAAGGAUGUCAUCUUAGCUGCUUGCAACCACAAUAUAGACAUUGUUUGACUCUAAAAUUAAACUGUGAACUUCAUCCAUCCAUCCAUCCAUCUUCUCCUGCUUUUCCGUCAGGGUCGCGGAGGUAACAGCUCCAGCAGAGAGCCCCAAACUUUCCUUUCCCUGGCCACAUCAACCAGCUCUGACUGGGGGAUUCCAAGGCGCUCCCAGGCCAGCAAAGAGAUAUAAUCCCUCCACCUGGUCCUAGGUCUACCCCUCGGUCUCUUCCCAGCUGGACGUGCCUGGAACACCUCCCUAGGGAGGCGCCCAGGUGGCAUCCUCACUAGGUGCCUGAACCACCUCAACUGGCUCCUUUCAACGCGAAGGAGCAGCGGUUCUACUCCGAGUCCCUCCCGGAUGACUGAACUUCUCACCCUAUCCCUAAGGGAGAUGCCAGCCACCCUGCAGAGAAAUCCCAUCUCGGCCGCUUGUAUCCGCGAUCUCGUUCUUUCGGUCAUGACCCAUCCUUCAUGACCAUAGGUGAGGGUAGGAACGAAGAUGGCCCGGUAGACAGAGAGCUUUGCCUUCUGGCUCAGCUCUCUUUUCGUCACAACGGUUCGGUAAAGCGACUGCAGUACCGCUCCCGCUGCUCCGAUUCUCCGGCCCAUCUCACGCUCCAUUGUUCCCUCACUCGAGAACAAGACCCCGAGAUACUUGAACUCCUUCACUUGCGGUAAGGCUUCAUUCCCUACCUGGAGUGGACAAUCCAUCGGUUUCCUGCUGAGAACCAUGGCCUCAGAUUUGGAGGUGCUGAUCCUCAUCCCAGCCGCUUCACACUCGGCCGCGAACCGAUCCAGUGAGUGCUGAAGGUCACAGACCGAUGAAGCCAUUAGGACCACAUCAUCUGCAAAAAGCAGUGGUGCAAUCCUUAGCCCACCGAACUGCAGACCCCCUUCCCCACGACUACGCCUCGAAAUCCUGUCCAUGAAUAUCACAAACAGGAUUGGUGACAAAGCGCAGCCCUGGCGGAGGCCAGCCCUCACCGUAAAUCGGUCCGACGUGCUGCCGAGGACCCGGACACAGCUCUCGCUUUGAGAGUACAGAGAUUGGAUGGCCCUGAGCAGAGACCCCCUCACCCCAUACUCCCGCAGCACCUCCCACAGUAUCUCCCUGGGAACCCGGUCAUAUACCUUCUCCAAAUCCACAAAGCACAUGUAGACCGGAUGAGUGUACUCCCAGGCCCCCUCCAGGAUCCUUGCGAUGAGUGAAAAGCUGGUCCGUCGUUCCACGACCAGGACGAAAACCGCAUUGUUCCUCUUCAAUCUGAGGUUCGACAAUCGGCCGGACCCUCCUUUCCAGCACCUUAGAGUAAACUUUCCCGGGGAGGCUGAGUAAUGUGAUGCCUCUGUAAUUGGCACACACCCUCUGAUCCCCCUUUUUAAAGAGAGGAACCACCACCCCGGUCUGCCACUCCUUCGGUACUGUUUCCGACUUCCACGCAAUGUUGAUGAGACAUGUCAACCAUGACAGUCCCUCAACAAAGCCAACUUCUGUCGCCUGAGUCUGGUCCGUCGAGACCCUCUGCUUUCACUGCCACCCUUCUGGCAGCGCACCCGACCCCAUCGUUGUUUCCCGUAGGUGGUGGGCCCGCGGGACGGAGAAGCGGAGGUGUUGCCCACGUUGCUUUUUCAGGCUGUGCCGGUCCGGGCUUCGUGGCAAGCCCAGCCACCAGACGCUCGCUGACGAGUCCUCCUUCUGGGCCUGGCUCCAGAAGGGGACCCCGGGCUUCCUCCGGGCCGGGUAUCCUCGCUUCCAAUUGUGUUAUUCAUGGAGUCUUUUUGAACCAAUCUUAGUCUGGCCCCUACCUGAGACCAAUUUGCCAUGGGAGACCCUACCAGGAACACAAGGUUCCAGACAACACAGCCCCCAGGUUCAUCGGGGCACACAAACCUCUCCACCAUGAUAAGGUGCUGGUUCUCGGAAAGGUAAACUGUGAACUCAUGCAACAUAAAUAAAAUUGACCUGACUUUAAAAAACAUCUUAAAAAGAAGAUUUCUCUGCAUCGUUCCUUCAGUGUGUUUUCAUAAAUAAUAACGUCUUAUUUUCUUAGUAAAAAAGUGGAGGAAAAACAGAUAAGAGUUCCACCUAAAUCUGAAAAACAUCACAUUGCAAAAGUACUUUGAGAACAAAUACAUCUGAUGUAAAUAAUAAGCUGAUUUGCUUUGGAAACUGUCCCAAGCAAGUCAAAGAGAAUUACUUUUUUAAACACCUUUUGGCCGUAGAUGGGUUUUGAACCCGUCCUCUCACCUUGUUCCACUCAAUCAGAGUCUCUGUGUCGUUGAAGUCGUCCAGAGACGGACAAGCGUAUCUCAGAUUCUCUCCCACCUCCACUUCUACUUUGCUGGUCAGUUUCUCCUGGUCCACAGACCUGGACUCGUACACUCUCAGCGUUAUAUUCCCAGUCACACAGUACGUUUCAUUUCUGGGGACAAAAGUGAGGAGAUAAAAGGUUUAGAUCACCUGAAGAUGCAGCGAGUAAAUCAAAAGUUCUUCAACUGGACGGUUUAAAUCCUCACAAUGGCAAGUGUUUUCCUCUCUCAAGAGACUGAAAGCAAUGCUAAGGUUAAGGGCGGGACAUCUCUAAGCGGUUGACCAAUCACAACAGAGCUGGCCAGCUAACCAAUCAGAGCAGGCUGGGCUCUGGUUUCAGACAGAGGGUGAAAAGAGGUGCUGCAGCACAGGCAGUAUGAGAAACAUGAAGAGCUUUUUGAACAUUAGAGCAUGGAGACAGAGGCUCAAAAUACUCAUCAUAUGUCCUCUUAUGGAGUAAUGAAGAUGUCAGUACAGCUGGGGGAUGUAUUUUGUCUUAAAGUGUACCUGUAGUUGCAGGUGUAUUCUCCUGAGUCGGAGGCUUCUGCUGGGAGAAACCAAAGCUGUUUUUCCCGCUGCUGAACACGGCCCUCGCCCUGAAACGACACGCCCUCCAUCCCAUUGUCCUUGGUGAUGAGGUAGUUUGCGUUUGGGGGGGCGAUGUUGCGUUUUUCAAGCACUCCGUCAAACAUUGGGCAGGAGAGGAUUAUAGCCUCACCCUCCAACACAAAAAUAUCCACCUCUUCAGAAGCCAGGAAGCAGCCACCUGUUGGGGGGGGGGGGGGGGGGGGAACCAAAUAACAAUAUUUGAAAAAUGAUAGAUUCUGGUUAACAGUCCAAAAAGUAGAGCGUCAAUAUUCUAAAGUAAUGUAAUAUUAAAUGCAAUACACAUAAAUCCAAGAGAAAAUACAUAUCAAUUAGAUGUUUUUUAAGAGUCUUACGUGAGAAAACAGAAGAAAUCUAGACAUUUAGGAUCUAAAAUGUGUCCUUUUCUCAUAGUAAAACCUGCAUUCCAUGAAUCAUAUCCAGGCAGUAGCCUAACACUGAAUCACAUGAGCACAUAGUACAGUUUAAAAAAGCAGGAAUCAAAUCUGAGCUGACAGAAAAUGCUCUGUUUUAGUUUAACACACACAGUUAAGCUCACACACUAUUUAUGAACGUAUAGGUUCAGCUGCUGAAUUAAAAACAGAACAAAUGAAACAAAGAAAGAGAAAACCAUGAAGCAGAUUCAGGCAGUAUAGAUUCACUCUUAAAGUAUCAGCCUACAGAACAGAACAGCUGACAGAGGAGAGAGAACAUCUGAUCCACUCUUUUUUGAAAAAAAUCUAAAUUUGGAAAAUAAUCAAGAAUUUUGAGAAAAAAAUGACAAUUUUUGGGAACAGAGUGAGAAUUUACGAACUCAAUUCGGAAAAAUAUUCAGAAAUUUUAGAAAAAGGAUAGAUUUUUGGGCGGGAAAAUUGAGAAUUUUGAAAAAAAUGUCAAAAUUUUGAAACUUUUUUAGAUUUUUGGGGAAAAAAGUGAACAAAAUGAAGAUCUCAUGAAGCAGAUUCAGGCAGUAGGCGUACAGAUUCACACUUCAAGUAUCAGCCUACAGAACAGAACAGCUGACAGAGGAGAGAGAACAUCUGAUCCUUUUACAACAAACACUAUCUGCUCUUUUUACCUUCCUGUAAUCCCGUCACAUGUAAUCCAUUACUCCCCAUGCCUGAAUACAACCCAAGCAGUGACAGAACAACCAGCAUGCUCACCUUCCAUAGCCAGAGGAGGUAGCAGAGGGAUCCCCCCGACGUGUUGGAUGAGGAUCACAGUGAACAUCCACCCCGAGCGCAGCAUGGUGGCAGUCUGCAGGGACACAAGGCUCCACAGUCAUGCCUGCUACUGAGACUCUGCAAGCGUGGUUUCAUUUAAAGUCUCUCGUAGAUUAAACUUGUUACAUCACAAGAGUAGUCAUCGAAACGCCGGCACUCCCGUACAUCCCGCCCCCCCCCGAUUCACACACUCUCAACAGCCAAAUGUAACCAGUGGCUUGACUGACUGCAUCACAUGGGAUGAGUCAACUAGACCAGUCAACUUAAAGGGUGGAAGGUCACCGAUCCUUGCUGCGUUGCACUUUCUACCCAUUGCUUUUAGACACGCUUUCACGUUCUUAUUGUUGACUUUCGAGGCUGAGAUCCUCAGAGGUGUCGUUCCAGGGUCCAGAUCACUUUGAAGUCACUUUUACAAACUCACUUAUUUUGUUUUCAAUGUAUUCUCUCUCGAUGUCAUUUUGUUUUAUUAUUUGCAGUUUUUUUAAUGAUUUAUUCUCAUUUCAAGACUCUGUUUUAAUUUGAAUGAACUUGCUGUCCGUGGAUCUGUAUGUUAAAGCACUUUGUGAACUUUGUAUUAUUAAGAAUACUCUCUUACUCAGAACAUUCUGUAUAAAUCUGUGUUGUUAUUUCACUAUAUUUUCAUUUAAUUGAAUAAGAAAAGUAUUUCCUAACACAAGAGAAAAUGACAAUAGGUUUUACCACGUGGCUAAUAAUGUAUUGAUGAUGACCAUCUUUAGUUUACUAUAUUCUACUCGUAUAAUAUGUUGAUUAUACGUCUUGCAAUAACAAAUAUUGAAUUCUAUCUUGAAUUAUAUUCCAUAUGAUAUCCACAUUUUAAUAUAUACUCUACAUUGUUCCGUAUUAGUUUAUAUUUUCCGUUUAAUCUGAAGACCAGAAGGUAAAUUCUCCAAUUUGUUGCCACAGAGGGAAAUCAUAAUUUCCAUUGAAACCGGAUAAUUUUCACUUCUGCUUCAGUUUCCUCGUCUGUGAUUACAGGGAUUAGUUUACAGCAGGCAGAACUCCCCCCCCCCCCCCCACGCACGUACACACACACACACACACACAGCAGUCAUUAACCUUUUUCCGAGUUUCUUGAUCAGUGUGUCAUCAAAUGGCAAUCCCAUUUAUAAAACCAGUGGGAGUGCCAUUGUUGUAAAUGGGUUUUUAACGUGUGAGUCACGAUGCACCUCUGCAUUGUCCGUGAAUAAAUGAAACUAUUGAAAAUAUCCUACAAACUCCUGACGAUCAAUCAUCCCUUACUGCAUGUCAGUUACUCAACAGUUUAAUAAUACUGCAUGUAGGAGUUUAAUUCAGUCUCUGUCUGUUCAGAGGGAGCGUGAGUUCCAGUUACCCUUAUUGCAGAACUUUGGCUACGUUUUAGGAUAAAAUGGAUAUAUGCACACCAACCAUGUGUAAUUGCAUCAAAAGGUUUUUCACAGAAUAUUUAAGCAACUUCAGGAUGAAUCUCAAACGUUUCAAGACUCUGUUUUAAUUUGAAUGAACUUGCUGUCCGUGGAUUUGUAUGUUAAAGCACUUUGUAUUAUUAAGAAUACUCUCUUAAUCAGAA